AUUGAACGCUGGCGGCAUGCCUUACACAUGCAAGUCGAACGGCAGCACGGACUUCGGUCUGGUGGCGAGUGGCGAACGGGUGAGUAAUGUAUCGGAACGUACCUUUCAGUGGGGAAUAACGUAGCGAAAGUUACGCUAAUACCGCAUAUUCUGUGAGCAGGAAAGCAGGGGAUCGAAAGACCUUGCGCUGAUUGAGCGGCCGAUAUCAGAUUAGCUAGUUGGUGGGGUAAAGGCCUACCAAGGCGACGAUCUGUAGCGGGUCUGAGAGGAUGAUCCGCCACACUGGAACUGAGACACGGUCCAGACUCCUACGGGAGGCAGCAGUGGGGAAUUUUGGACAAAGGGGGCAACCCUGAUCCAGCCAUGCCGCGUGAGUGAAGAAGGCCUUCGGGUUGUAAAGCUCUUUCGGCCGGGAAGAAAUCGCAUAGGCUAAUACCCUGUGUGGAUGACGGUACCGGAAUAAGAAGCACCGGCUAACUACGUG
rnacentral:rRNA from 1 species